rnacentral:misc_RNA from 1 species
AAGUCGUAACAAGGUUUCCGUAGGUGAACCUGCGGAAGGAUCAUUAUUGAAUAAACUUGAUGUGGUUGAGCUGACUCUUUCGGGAGUAUGUGCUCGCUCGUCAUCUUUAUCUUUCCACCUGUGCACUUUUUGUAGAUUUGGAUGUAACUGUCCGAGGCAACUCGGUUGGGAGGAAUGCUAUCUUUGAUGGCUUUCCUUGUAUGUCCAAGUCUAUGUCUUCAUAUACUCCAAGUAUGUAACAGAAUGUAUCACUGGGCCUUGUGCCUAUAAACUAUAUACAACUUUCAGCAACGGAUCUCUUGGCUCUC